GGUAUGGUGGCUCAGUGAUUAGAGCGCACGCCUCAUGAACGGGAGGUCUUGGGUUCGAACCCUUGCCGAAUCA
rfam:Strongylocentrotus purpuratus Contig107919_fixed, whole genome shotgun sequence.